rnacentral:rRNA from 1 species
AUUACCCAAUACCGACACCGGGAGGUAGUGACAAGAAAUAACAAUACAGGGCAAUUGUCUUGUAAUUGGAAUGAUGGUGACGUAAAAUCUCACCAGAGUAACAAUUGGAGGGCAAGUCUGGUGCCAGCAGCCGCGGUAAUUCCAGCUCCAAUAGCGUAUAUUAAACUUGUUGCAGUUAAAAAGCUCGUAGUUGAAUUUCUGCGUUGCCCGACUCGGCUACUUGCCUUGUCUGGUUUCGCUUUUGGGGUUUUCCCCUUUUUACUUUGAGAAAAUUAGAGUGUUUCAAGCAGACUUGUGUCUUGAAUACUUCAGCAUGGAAUAAUAAAGUAGGACUUUGGUUCUAUUUUGUUGGUUUGUGAACCUUAGUAAUGGUUAAUAGGAACGGUUGGGGGCAUUCGUAUUUAA